GAUGAACGCUGGCGGCGUGCCUAACACAUGCAAGUCGGACGGAGAGGACAUUUCGGUGUUCUCUCAGUGGCGCACGGGUGAGUAACACGUAGCUGACCUGUCCUGGAGCGGGGGAUAACGCCGCGAAAGCGGCGCUAAGCCCGCCUAAGCUCACGGUCUGUAGAGGGGUGUGAGAAAACCGAAAGGUACUUCAGGAGGGGCUGCGGCCCAUCAGGUAGUUGGUGGGGUAAGAGCCUACCAAGCCGACGACGGGUAGGGGGUCUGAGAGGGU
rnacentral:rRNA from 1 species